rnacentral:rRNA from 1 species
UACGAAGGGGGCUAGCGUUGCUCGGAAUUACUGGGCGUAAAGGGCGCGUAGGCGGCGCUGCAAGUCAGGCGUGAAAUUCCUGGGCUUAACCUAGGGGCUGCGCUUGAGACUGUGGUGCUAGAGGACGGAAGAGGGUCGUGGAAUUCCCAGUGUAGAGGUGAAAUUCGUAGAUAUUGGGAAGAACACCGGUGGCGAAGGCGGCUACCUGGACCGGUUCUGACGCUGAUGCGCGAAAGCGUGGGUAGCAAACAGG